GCAUCGAUGAAGAACGCAGCGAACUGCGAAACGUUAUGUGACCUGCACUCUUCGUGAAUCAUCCAAUCUUUGAACGCACUUUGCACCUCGUGGCUUCUGUCACAAGGUAUACUUGUUUGAGUAUUCGAUAGCCAUCUCUCCUCCCUUACGGGGCGAGGAGGACUUGAGGGCUCGUCACCGCAAGGGGACGUCUCUUUAAAUGGGAAGGGUCCACAUAGUGAGGGUCUCCGUCUGGCUUAGGCAGGACUAUUGGGAUAACAUCCUGACAAUCGUUUGCCUGAGCUCUUAAUUUGGACAUUGACAAACUCACUGGACCCAAACUAUCGGUCAGGAGGGGGAUGCACGCAAGUGUGUCUCUCUACUUGACCAUUCGUCGUCGGACAUGUGCCGAUGACGCGUGUGAUGAAUCUCAAAUCAAGUAAGGAUACCCGCUGAACUUAAGCAUAUCAAUAAGCGGAGGA
rnacentral:rRNA from 1 species